AUGACCAUAUCACAUUGAAACAUCAGUUUGCAUAUAAUCGCCAAAGUUAAACAACAUUGAGCUUAGUCAGUACCUAGAUGGGUAACCGCUUGGGAAUACCAGGUGCUGUAAG